CCGGUGCAGAGCGAUUAUUAGCGUGUGCGUGUGCGUGCAUGUGCGCAUCUUCUGCGUUUCUUUCACGCUUUUUGUCUUUCGAACCCUUUUUCUGAGUUGAUCUGAAAGGGUAGCCGCUACAGAGCUGGCGCACACGGCUGCAGACUGCACCCGCACAUCGCCACCUCUCUCGUCCUUCGCACCCUUCUCGCGUAGCAGACGCCUUCGGCUCGCGUAAACGCAUCUUUGCACGAGCGCAGACUCAGGGCCAGCGAACAAAAAAAAAGAAAAAGAUGGAGGGGCAUGCUCUGGGGAAUGGCAUCCAGGGCGCAGAUCCACCUGGCGGAGCCGGUGGCUGGUCCUCUGGCGCCCCGACUCCCCUAAGUUUCACGCCCCCAUUUGUGUCAGCGGUGCACCCGCCAUGCGCGCCGCUGGUAGCCGUCUCCUCGCCCACUUCCAACAACGGUUUUGGUGCCGCAGUGGCAGAUGGGCCACACAUGAUCCACGUGCCGGGCAGCGCGGCGGAGAAUGUGAGCACCGGCCACCAAGCUUCGCACACUCCGUUGGCGUCUGCGUCUGGCUCCGCGGCGCACCGACCGACGUCGCAGGGCCCAUUCCCGGCCGCCUCUACGCUGACAUCCCCGUCGCUGGCGCUAACGGGGUGGCGCGGUGGCGGUGCGGGCGACAGCACUGAUGAUCCGAAUGCGUCCUUCUCUGGUGCCACGACGACAUCUGCCACGGACACAGGCGAGGACAGGGGCUUCAAAUUUGAACGCGCGGGCAGGCGGCCCGUUACUCGUGUCGUCGACCCAACCGAGGUGCCGGCGCUCAAGUACACGAUAGCGGUUUCUGUAACCCGGGAUGGCAAAGAGGUCGAGGAGCUGCUGGACCCAUUUGAACUGGGCCGCCUGUACGGCCAGAGGCAGGCGGCUCUCCGCAAGCUGAAGAGUCGUUACGACUUUCUUGCGGUGCCGGAGUGGGUGCGGCUGCACCCGCUGCUUGGAACGUAUUUCGCUGAGCUGGUCGGCACCUUUGGGUGGGUGCUCACUUUGGCGCUGGUGAGCGUGCGCAACGAGAGCAUCUUCAGCAUCUCCGACGCCACCAACAUGAUGCCGCUGCCCAUCGGCUUCAUGUUCACGAGUAUGAUCUUCACCUUCGGCUACAUCUCCGGCUCUCACUUCAACCCUGCCGUGUCCAUCGCCGUGUUUCUCGUGCGCCAGAUGAAGGUGGCCCAGUGCUGUGCCUACAUCCUUUGCCAGCUCACCGGCGGCCUCGCCGCCGGCGUCGUGGCGAUGAUAAUCCAGGGCAACAAGGACAUCUUUGUGCCGUCGGUGUCGACUAGCUACGUCUCCUCCGGCAUUUUCUCGGAGCUCAUCUUUACCUUCGCUAUGUGCCUUGUCGUGCUCAAUAUCGCCUACUCCCGCCAGUCUGGCCACUUCUUCUAUGGCUUUGCUGUCGGUAUGACAAUCUCCGCCGGCUCAGCCAGCGCAGGGCGCAUUUCUGGUGGCGCCUUCAACCCGGCUGCCGCGUCGGGGCUGCAGGUGGCCAUGUGUCUAGCGGGCAGGUGCGACGACCUCAAGUCCAUCUGGGUCUACUGGCUCGCCCCUGUCGUUGGCGCCAUCCUGGCAGCGGUCCUCUUCUCUCAGAUGGCGCAGCCAACCGAGACGCAGGUGCUGGAAGACAGGAAGGUGUUCCAGAAUGUGAGCGAGCUGCACCGGCAGCGCAUGGCGGCACAGGCGUUGGCCAUCCGUGCCACGGCAGGCACUACUGCAGCGAAAAGUUGCGCAGGCAGCGCGGACGAAACAAGGCCGACCUCCUCUUCGACAUCCUCUGAGAGGCAUACACUGUCGUCCUCGUCGUCUUCCUCUGAUCCGCGCGGCGAUCGCGAGAUGACGGAAGUGCCACACACUCGCACACCGCGGACGCGCGAGGAGCGUGAUACCGAGCAUGUGCAUGCGAGCACUCAAGACGGCGCAGAGGAGCUGGAUAGCGGACACACCCGGCUGCCGCCGCAGGUGCCGAGCCGCGGGGAAGUAAAGGUCGCCACCACCACAUGGGAGGGGCCGACGUUCAAUCGAUGUUAGACGCGAGAGUAUCAUGGCGCACAUCUUCUCUGAUUCUGCAUGAGGCUUCGGGCAGACCACGUGGGGCGCUCGCUCUCGCAAGCGCCGCGAACGUGCCUGCGCCUUUCUUUCCCAGCAAUUGAUGCACGUUAGGUCACCCUCAUGCAGAGCGCCACUCUCACCUCCGCCUCCUUCUUUCCCUUGCCGAGCCGCGGCAUGUUUCUUUCUGUUUCUGUGUGCGCUCGCCUUUGCCGGAAUGCUUUCGUGACGUCGUUCGCCCGUCUGUUCCGUGUCGUUUUUUUUUUUCUCACUCCCCCAUCGCUUACUGACCGAUGGCGGCGGGGCUGCAUGCGAUGGCGCUGCCGCCGCUGCUCUCGGGUGGCCCCCCUCCCUUUUUCUUUGUGCCGCCGCUGCCUUGCCUCCGUCUGUGGUGUCCUUUACUCGCUCUUCGCCCCUCCCCUCGACCCCCUCGCGUUGCUAUCCAGCCCGGCAUGAACGCCAGGUGAGCGUGCUCUGCGGGUGCUCAUCCGCAGAGGUACAAGGCCUUACUUCUGGAGUCACAAGGCCACCCAGAAGGGAAAGAGAGCUGGUCGACAUAUGUAGGCAUGACCCCACCAAAAUGUGACGACGAUGCUGUCCACAGCAGCAAGGAGAAUCGGCACAGGCAUGCUACCUUUCGCCGCGCUUUUGUUUUUCUUAAAGAGUGUAGCGAGAGCACACUGGCACGCCAUCU
rnacentral:misc_RNA from 1 species